rnacentral:rRNA from 1 species
AACGAACGCUGGCGGCAUGCCUAACACAUGCAAGUCGAACGAGACCUUCGGGUCUAGUGGCGCACGGGUGCGUAACGCGUUGGAACCUGCCCUUAGGUUCGGAAUAACUCCCCGAAAGGGGUGCUAAUACCGGAUAAUUUCUUCGGACCAAAGAUUUAUCGCCUUUGGAUGGGCCCGCGUUGGAUUAGCUAGGUGGUAGGGUAAAAGCCUACCAAGGCGACGAUCCAUAGCUGGUCUGAGAGGAUGAUCAGCCACACUGGGACUGAGACACGGCCCAGACUCCUACGGGAGGCAGCAGUGGGGAAUAUUGGACAAUGGGCGAAAGCCUGAUCCAGCAAUGCCGCGUGAGUGAUGAAGGCCUUAGGGUUGUAAAGCUCUUUUACCCGGGAUGAUAAUGACAGUACCGGGAGAAUAAGCGCCGGCUAACUCCGUG